GACUUGCUACGCGACACGCCCUUAUCCUCUCGUCCCUUUUCUCGACCGAUUUCUCCACCGCAGCAUCGCCGCCGCUCCUCCCCUGCCGCUCCUCUCUUUCACUUCCCCUCCAUGGCGCCGCCCUACUCUUCCCCUUCCUCCCCAUGGCGCUGCCCUACCCCCUUCCUCCCCAUGGCGCCACCCCUCUCCUGCCCUUCCUCCUAUGGGGUAGCCCUUCUCCUCCACUUCCUCUCCAUAGUCAAUGUUGUUGAUGGAUGGCGGGCCCAAGGACGACAGACUGGCUGGUGUCCAGGGCGGCCUGUGCGGUGUGGCCAAGAACGACGCCCAGCACACGACGACAUCCUCCCCAAUCGUCCCGCUGCUCCCUCCCCUACCGGAUCCAGUCUCAGGUCAACGCCAUCAUACGAGGCCAAAAAUGGUUGUAGAAGGAGAUGCAACUCCUAGAAGGAGAGGGUUUUUUUGCGGGGUGGAGGAGCUGGUGUACAUUUGUGCACAUAAUUCUCAGCUGCAAAGUCACAUAUACUAUUGUGUGGAAAGAUCAAAGGAAGAAAACACCUGCAUGCCAGAUUUUUGUCUAGUUGGUAGUUAUGCUUCACAGUACCUACAACAUACUUUUCUCUUUAUUUUUUUCCUUUUUUUGCUACAUGGACAUCGGUUCUUCUGCAUUAUGUGUGAUAUAAGACUAUCUAUGUGCUCUCUCCUAUAUAAUU